AUUAACUAGUGAAAAAUUAGACUUUACGACUCAUAUAAAUUCUGUAUAUUUUUGUUCCUAAUCAUAAAUUGAUUUAUGAAUUUAUGGGGUAAUCUCUUAUGGUUUUGUAAAGUCAUUGAAGUAUUAUUGUCAAGAAGAUGAGAAACAUUUAACAGCUCAUGUAUCAGACAGUUUUUUAUUACUAAGUGAAACAUAAGUGAUUGUUAUCAGUUUACUUCAAGGGUCAACACGUCAGUGGGCCAUAGGGGUCUCACAUAUUUAGAAAACCUGAGUAAGGGUGUGAUUGUGAAGUUGUUUUCCAUGAGAGAAACAUGUGAGUCAGUAAACUAAGUAAAGCAGACUGUCCUGCCCAUCAGGAGUGGCCUCAUCCAAUCAGUUGAAGGCCUGGAUAGAGAAAAAACACUGAGUAAUGGUGAACUGCUCUGCUCCUGCCCAACUGCCUUUGAGCCAUGAUGUGGAUUUCAUCUGCCUUCAGAUAUGAACUGGAACAUCACUUCCUGGGUAUCAUCCAACCACCUUCUCACCUCAACUACACUAUUGGCUUUCUAGUGUUCAGGCCUUUAGGACAGGCUGGAAUUCCACCAUUGGUUCUCCUGAGCCACCAGCUUGCUGAAGACAGAUCUUGGGACUCAUCAGCUUUCAAGACCACAUGAGCCAGUCCAGAGUCUAUUUCUCUUCCUACAGGUACAGACCAUAGUGUCCCAGGGAUACAGAAUUACCAGCUCUGGGCAAGGCCUUCUCUUCUGGGAAUCUGCCCCAUAGUCAGAGGCACCAUCCUCCUCCCUCCCUCACAGACAGGACAGUUCUUACCGAUACCUUGUACCUCACAGGGUGCAAAUUCAACAUGUCUGGAAACAGCCCAUCUGUGUGUUGCUACAGCCCCCUACCAUGCACCCAGGUGACCAACUCAAGCAAGCACACUGGGAAACCUACUUGUCAAUUCAAAUUAUGUCCCAAUCCUGGACGGAGGGUCUUCUGGUAAACAAUGGCAACUCCUACUUCAAUGCACCUUUCACAUCCCCUAGUG
rnacentral:lncRNA from 1 species